GACGAACGCUGGCGGCAGGCUUAACACAUGCAAGUCGAACGCAUCGCAAGAUGAGUGGCAGACGGGUGAGUAACGCGUGGGAACAUACCCUUUUCUACGGAAUAGCUCUGGGAAACUGGAAUUAAUACCGUAUACGCCCUACGGGGGAAAGAUUUAUCGGGGAAGGAUUGGCCCGCGUUGGAUUAGCUAGUUGGUGGGGUAAAGGCCUACCAAGGCGACGAUCCAUAGCUGGUCUGAGAGGAUGAUCAGCCACAUUGGGACUGAGACACGGCCCAAACUCCUACGGGAGGCAGCAGUGGGGAAUAUUGGACAAUGGGCGCAAGCCUGAUCCAGCCAUGCCGCGUGAGUGAUGAAGGCCUUAGGGUUGUAAAGCUCUUUCACCGAUGAAGAUAAUGACGGUAGUCGGAGAAGAAGCCCCGGCUAACUUCGUGCCAGCCGCCGCCGUAA
rnacentral:rRNA from 1 species